CACCAGGUCAGGACACGGUAAGGAUUGACGGACUGAAGGCUCUUUCUCGAUUCCGUGGAAAGUGGUGCAUGGCCGUUUUUUGGUUGGUGGAUCGAUCCGUCUGGUUAAUUCCGUUAACGAACGAGACCUCGGCACUCCGAAUAGCGCGGCGGACGUCGCGGCCUCCGGGCCGUCUUCCGCACGAGCUUCUUAGAGGGACCGUCCCCCGCCGGGGGAAGGAGGUGCGAGGCAACGACAGGUCUGUGAUGCCCUUAGAUGUUCUGGGCCGCACGCGCAUUACACUGACGCGUCCAACGGGUGACUCCCGACCCGAAGGGGCCGGGGAAUCCGCAAGGCGCGUCGUGAUGGGGAUUGAACGUUGCAAUUGUUGUUCACGAACGAGGAAUUCCUAGUAGGCGCGGGUCAUCAACCCGCGCCGAUUACGUCCCUGCCCUUUGUACACACCG
rnacentral:rRNA from 1 species